GUGUGUGUGUAUGUGGGGAGAGUAACAGUGUGUGUGUGUGUAUGUGGGGAGAGUGACAGUGUGUGUGUAUGUGUGUGUGUGUAGUAACAGUGUGUGUGUAUGUGGGGAGAGUAACAGUGUGUGUAUGUGGGGGAGAUAACAGUGUGUGUGUAUGUGGGGAGAGUAACAGUGUGUGUGUGUGUGUAUGUGGGGAGAGUAACAGUGUGUGUGUAUGUGGGGAGAGUAACAGUGUGUGUGUAUGUGGGGAGAGUAACAGUGUGUGUGUGGGGAGAGUAACAGUGUGUGUGGGGAGAGUAACAGUGUGUGUGUGUGUGGGGAGAGUGACAGUGUGUGUGUAUGUGGGGAGAGUAACAGUGUGUGUGUGGGGAGAGUGUGUGUAUGUGGGG
ensembl:lncRNA